GAAUAGGCCCAGGCGACUGUUUAGCAAAAACACAGGUCUCUGCGAAGCCGUAAGGCGAAGUAUAGGGGCUGACGCCUGCCCGGUGCUGGAAGGUUAAGAGGAGCGCUUAGCGUAAGCGAAGGUGCGAAUUGAAGCCCCAGUAAACGGCGGCCGUAACUAUAACGGUCCUAAGGUAGCGAAAUUCCUUGUCGGGUAAGUUCCGACCCGCACGAAAGGCGCAACGAUCUGGGCACUGUCUCAACGAGAGACUCGGUGAAAUUAUAGUACCUGUGAAGAUGCAGGUUACCCGCGACAGGACGGAAAGACCCCGUGGAGCUUUACUGCAGCCUGAUAUUGAAUGUUGGUACAGCUUGUACAGGAUAGGUAGGAGCCUUGGAAACCGGAGCGCUAGCUUCGGUGGAGGCAUCGGUGGGAUACUACCCUGGCUGUAUUGACCUUCUAACCCGCUGCCCUUAUCGGGCAGGGAGACAGUGUCAGGUGGGCAGUUUGACUGGGGCGGUCGCCUCCUAAAAUGUAACGGAGGCGCCCAAAGGUUCCCUCAGAAUGGUUGGAAAUCAUUCGCAGAGUGUAAAGGC
rnacentral:rRNA from 1 species